rnacentral:lncRNA from 1 species
CGGGCCCUCACCUCACCUGAGGUCCGGCCGCCCAGGGGUGCGCUAUGCCGUCGGGAGGUGACCAGUCGCCACCGCCCCCGCCUCCCCCUCCGGCGGCGGCAGCCUCGGAUGAGGAGGAGGAGGACGACGGCGAGGCGGAAGACGCCGCGCCGCCUGCCGAGUCGCCCACCCCUCAGAUCCAGCAGCGGUUCGACGAGCUGUGCAGCCGCCUCAACAUGGACGAGGCGGCGCGGGCCGAGGCCUGGGACAGCUACCGCAGCAUGAGCGAAAGCUACACGCUGGAGGGAAAUGAUCUUCAUUGGUUAGCAUGUGCCUUAUAUGUGGCUUGCAGAAAAUCUGUUCCAACUGUAAGCAAAGGGACAGUGGAAGGAAACUAUGUAUCUUUAACUAGAAUCCUGAAAUGUUCAGAGCAGAGCUUAAUCGAAUUUUUUAAUAAGAUGAAGAAGUGGGAAGACAUGGCAAAUCUACCCCCACAUUUCAGAGAACGUACUGAGAGAUUAGAAAGAAACUUCACUGUUUCUGCUGUAAUUUUUAAGAAAUAUGAACCCAUUUUUCAGGACAUCUUUAAAUACCCUCAAGAGGAGCAACCUCGUCAGCAGCGAGGAAGGAAACAGCGGCGACAGCCCUGUACUGUGUCUGAAAUUUUCCAUUUUUGUUGGGUGCUUUUUAUAUAUGCAAAAGGUAAUUUCCCCAUGAUUAGUGAUGAUUUGGUCAAUUCUUAUCACCUGCUGCUGUGUGCUUUGGACUUAGUUUAUGGAAAUGCACUUCAGUGUUCUAAUCGUAAAGAACUUGUGAACCCUAAUUUUAAAGGCUUAUCUGAAGAUUUUCAUGCUAAAGAUUCUAAACCUUCCUCUGACCCCCCUUGUAUCAUUGAGAAACUGUGUUCCUUACAUGAUGGCCUAGUUUUGGAAGCAAAGGGGAUAAAGGAACAUUUCUGGAAACCCUAUAUUAGGAAACUUUAUGAAAAAAAGCUCCUUAAGGGAAAAGAAG